GAACGCACCUUGCGCCCUUUGGCUAUUCCGAAGGGCAUGCCUGUUUGAGUAUCAUGAACAUCUCAACUCCUCACGGUUCACCCGUGAGGAGCUUGGACUUUGGGGGUCUUGCUGGCCUGUGGGUCGGCUCCUCUCAAACGAAUCAGCUUGCCGGUGUUUGGUGGCGUCCCAGGUGUGAUAACUAUCUACGCUUGUGGUUUUCCGCCAGGUAACCUCCAGCAAUGGGGGUUCACUGGAGCUCACAAACGUCUCUCCUCGGUGAGGACAGCUCUUUGAACAUUUGAUCUCAAAUCAGGUAGGACUACCCGCUGAACUUAAG
rnacentral:misc_RNA from 1 species